rnacentral:rRNA from 1 species
AGCAGUAGGGAAUCUUCCACAAUGGGCGAAAGCCUGACGGAGCAAUGCCGCGUGAGUGAAGAAGGCCUUCGGGUCGUAAAACUCUGUUAUAAGAGAAGAACAAAUUGUAGAGUAACUGCUACAGUCUUGACGGUAUCUUAUCAGAAAGCCACGGCUAACUACGUGCCAGCAGCCGCGGUAAUACGUAGGUGGCAAGCGUUGUCCGGAUUUAUUGGGCGUAAAGGGAGCGCAGGUGGUUUCNUAAGUCUGANGGNAAAGCCCACGGCUUAACCGGGAGGGUCAU